rnacentral:lncRNA from 1 species
GACCUUAUAGGUAAAGUCUGCUGGCUUCACCAAGGCGCCUAGAUAAGGGCUUAGAUAAAAAGGUUUGGGGGGAGGGUUGGCAGUACCAAUAAGAUUUUUGGGGCAGUUUGUCCCUAAUAUUCCAGACUUUUAAUAGGUAAUAGAAGAGUGUCGCUAUUAUCUGGUUGUUGUCUGGCUGCUUCCUGCUGGGAAGGGGCAACAGUUUUGGGGGAAG